rnacentral:rRNA from 1 species
CCUACGGGAGGCAGCAGUGGGGAAUAUUGCACAAUGGGGGAAACCCUGAUGCAGCAACGCCGCGUGAAGGAUGACGGUUUUCGGAUUGUAAACUUCUUUUCUUAGUGAUGAAGACAGUGACGGUAGCUAAGGAAUAAGCAUCGGCUAACUACGUGCCAGCAGCCGCGGUAAUACGUAGGAUGCAAGCGUUAUCCGGAUUUACUGGGUGUAAAGGGAGCGCAGGCGGGACUGCAAGUUGGAUGUGAAAUACCGUGGCUUAACCACGGAACUGCAUCCAAAACUGUAGUUCUUGAGUGAAGUAGAGGCAAGCGGAAUUCCGAGUGUAGCGGUGAAAUGCGUAGAUAUUCGGAGGAACACCAGUGGCGAAGGCGGCUUGCUGGGCUUUAACUGACGCUGAGGCUCGAAAGUGUGGGGAGCAAACAGGAUUAGAUACCCUGGUAGUCCACACUGUAAACGAUGAUAGCUAGGUGUGGGGGGUCUGACCCCUUCCGUGCCGGAGUUAACGCAAUAAGCUAUCCACCUGGGGAGUACGACCGCAAGGUUGAAACUCAAAGGAAUUGACGGGGGCCCGCACAAGCAGUGGAGUAUGUGGUUUAAUUCGAAGCAACGCGAAGAACCUUACCAGGUCUUGACAUCCUACUAACGAGAUAGAGAUAUGUUAGGUGCCCUUCGGGGAAAGUAGAGACAGGUGGUGCAUGGUUGUCGUCAGCUCGUGUCGUGAGAUGUUGGGUUAAGUCCCGCAACGAGCGCAACCCCUAUUGUUAGUUGCUACGCAAGAGCACUCUAGCGAGACUGCCGUUGACAAAACGGAGGAAGGUGGGGACGACGUCAAAUCAUCAUGCCCCUUAUGACCUGGGCUACACACGUAAUACAAUGGCCGUUAACAGAGAGAAGCAAAGCGGUGACGCAGAGCAAAACCCUAAAAACGGUCCCAGUUCGGACUGUAGGCUGCAACCCGCCUACACGAAGUUGGAAUUGCUAGUAAUCGCGGAUCAGCAUGCCGCGGUGAAUACGUUCCCGGGCCUUGUACACACCGCCCGUCACACCAUGAGAGCCGGGGGGACCCGAAGUCGGUAGUCUAACCGCAAGGAGGACGCCGCCGAAGGUAAAACUGGUGAUUGGGGUGAAGUCGUAACAAGGUAGCCGUAGGAGAACCUGCGGCUG